rnacentral:rRNA from 1 species
CCGAUAGCGAACAAGUACCAUGAGGGAAAGUUGAAAAGCACUUUGGAAAGAGAGUGAAAAGUACGUUCAAAUCGUUCGGAGAAAAGGGGAUAAGUGGCAGGAAUGACCAUUAGUCUAUGACUGAUAUUGUGUUAAUUGCUUUGACGGCUGAUAAAUAUUUGGGAAUUCUCGGAUUUCCUUAUUGCAACUCCGUUAAUUGCGAGCUUCUGUGUUAUCCCUCCCGUCUUGAAACACGGACCAAGGAGUUCGAGUGGCCAGCAAGUUAUAGGAUAUGAAAUCCUAAGGCGCAAAGAAAUUGAUAUGGUCAGAGUACCUUUUAUGCUGCGAACUCUAUGGAUAUAAGCAGCGGAGAGUCCUUCGGGGCUUAUCCCGAGCUGGUUGCUGGAGACCCGAAAGAUGGUGAUCUAUGUCGAGACAGAAUGAAGCCACGGGAAACCAUGGUGGAAGUUCGAAGCGGUUCUGACGUGCAAAUCGAUCGUGUGAUCUCGGUAUAGGGGCGAAAGACUAAUCGAACCAUCUAGUAGCUGGUUCCUUCUGAAGUUUCCCUCAGGAUAGCAGACUUUCUAUUUCAGUUUUAUUGGUUAGAGCAAAUGAUUAGAGGUAUGGGAGAUUUCGUAUUUUCCACCUAUUCUCAAACUUCGAAUCGGUAAUGUGUAAUAGUGCCGCAGUAAUACUAUUAUACAAAUGUGAUUGUCUAGUGGGCCUAUUUUGGUAAGCAGAACUGGCGAUGUGGGAUGAACCAAUAGCUUCGUUUAGGUGUCUAAUAUUGGCUCAUGAGUAACCAUGAAAGGUGUUGAUCGAUAUAGACAGCAGGACGGUGGCCAUGGAAGUCGGAAUCCGCUAAGGAGUGUGUAACAACUCACCUGCCGAAUCAAUCAGCCCUGAAAAAGGAUGACGCUUGAGCCAGUAACCCGGACGUAGCUGUAAUCAGCUGGUCAUGUAUUGAUGUAUUAACUGAUUGCAAGUAAGAAGGUAUGAUGGUUGCGUCGACCUGUAUGCGUGAGCGUGCAGUGAGCGGCCAUUAGAGCUGAUCUUGGUGGUAGUAGCAAUUCUUCAAGUGAGAUCCUUGAGAGCCUAAGUGGAGAUCGGAUUCCAUGUGAACAGUGUUUGUACGUGGGUAAAUCGCUCCUAAGCCGGAUGCGAAGGCAUCUUCAGUGCAUUUGUUGACGGCGAAAGGGAAUUGCGUUAAGAUUCUCAAAUCUUUGUCUAAGCACCUCAUGGCGACAUGUCUAGUUUGGGUUACUGUUUCGCGAUGUUGGAUGAGAGUUAUCUUUUCUUUUUGACACAAGAAUAACCGUGGAAAGGUGUUGGACCACGAAACGGUUGCGUUUUUGGCAGAAAAUGGCAGCAUUUGCUGUCUUCCAUGCAUCAGCGGGGCUCCUUGAAAAAUCCAGACUGUUGUGAUGGCAAAGGGCGUACCAAUAACCGCAUCAGGUUCCCAAGGUGAGUAGCCUCUGGUUAGGAAUAGUGUAGGUAAGGGAAGUCGGCAUAAUAGAUUCGGACCUUUGGUAUAAGGAUUGGCUCUGACGGCUGGGUUGCGGGAGCUAGUAGCUUUGCUUUCUGUAAUUUUUGCUGUGGGAUGCUUGUCGUCCUGCGAAUAAUUUUGCAGUCUGCGUGAGUAUCUGGUCUCUCGGGGCAUUUUACAGUCUAACUCAGAACUGAAUACUGACACGGGGAUUCCGACUGUCUAAUUAAAACAAAGCAUUGCGAUGGCAAAAGUUUGUGUUGACGCAAUGUGAUUUCUGCCCAGUGCUCUGAAUGUCAAAGUGAAGAACUUCAAACAAGCGCGGGUAAACGGCGGGAGUAACUAUGACUCUCUUAAGGUAGCCAAAUGCCUCGUCAUCUAAUUAGUGACGCGCAUGAAUGGAUCAACGAGAUUCCUCCUGUCCCUAUCUACCAUCCAGCGAAACUACAGCUAGGGGAACGGGCCUAGUGUAAUCUGCGGGGAAAGAAGACCCUGUUGAGCUUGACUCUAGUUUGACAUUGUGAAGUGACUCGUGAAGUGUAGCAUAGGUGGGAGCUUUUAGCAAUUAUGAAAUACCACUGUUCGCGGUGUCAUUUUACUUAUCCAAUCGAGAAUGCGGGGGGCACCCCAAUUUCACUCAAUAAUCAUUGGUAACAUUGCUUUAUGUUUGGAGAAGUUGUCAGGUGGGGAGUUUGACUGGGGCGGUACAUCUGUAAAAAGAUAACGCAGGUGUCCUAAGGUUGACUCGGCGUGGACAGAAACCUCGCUGGGAGCAUAAUGGCAAAAGUCAGCUUGAUCUGUUUUUACAGUAUGAUUACAGACUGCGAAAGCGUGGCCUAACGAUCCUUUUGAUUUUAUUGUAUUUAAGCAAGAGGUGUCAGAAAAGUUACCACAGGGAUAACUGGCUCGUGGCAGCCAAGCGUUCAUAGCGACGUUGCUUUUUGAUCCUUCGAUGUCGGCUCUUCCUAUCAUUGCGAAGCAGAAUUCGCAAAGUGUUGGAUUGUUCACCCACUAACAGGGAACGUGAGCUGGGUUUAGACCGUCGUGAGACAGGUUAGUUUUACCCUACUGAUUGAAACCUUCGUGUUUACCCUUAGUUACAGCAAUUUCAUUUAGUACGAGAGGAACUGUGGAUUCCCGCCUCUGUUUCUACGACAGUCUGAUAAGACUCG